rnacentral:rRNA from 1 species
CACGCCGUAAACGAUGAGUGCUAGGUGUUAGGGGUUUCGAUGCCCUUAGUGCCGAAGUUAACACAUUAAGCACUCCGCCUGGGGAGUACGACCGCAAGGUUGAAACUCAAAGGAAUUGACGGGGGCCCGCACAAGCAGUGGAGCAUGUGGUUUAAUUCGAAGCAACGCGAAGAACCUUACCAGGUCUUGACAUCCUUUGACCACUCUAGAGAUAGAGCUUUCCCCUUCGGGGGACAAAGUGACAGGUGG